UACGUAGGUGUCAAGCGUUGUCCGGAUUUAUUGGGCGUAAAGCGCCCGCAGGCGGCUUGCCAAGUUCGAUGUGAAAUCUCCCGGCUCAACUGGGAGGGUGCAUCGAAAACUGGCAGGCUUGAGGCAGGGAGAGGGAUGUGGAAUUCCAGGUGUAGUGGUGAAAUGCGUAGAUAUCUGGAGGAAUACCGGUGGCGAAGGCGGCAUCCUGGACCGGCAUUGACGCUGAGGAGCGAAAGCCAGGGGAGCAAACGGG
rnacentral:rRNA from 1 species